rnacentral:lncRNA from 1 species
CGCAAACACAGAGGAAGGAGCUCUGUGCCUUGGUGACAGGCAGGCUUCUCAGAGGAGGGGUAUGCAGACUCACUAACAGAGAAGUCUUUGCCUCCUUUGUUCAUAGGCACUUACCUAGGAGCCAGCCAAAUGUCGCUAUUGUGACACAGAAGACAGAGAAAGGGAGCUGACAAAGAGAGGAGAGGUCACGCAAGGGGUGAUGCAGAGGUGGCUUAUUGGAGCAGGAGAUGUGUUCCUGAGCAGUCAACGUGUGACAGAAUCCUACCCGAAGGCACCAAGAAAGCUUCCUCUACGAAGAAACUCUUUAGAAUCUUGCCUAAGAUGUUGUCUUCCUAGAUCACUGAUCUCUGCUCGUGGAUACAAAUGGGUUUCAGCAGCUCCUAAUAUCAGAACUGAUGCCGAGAGCCGAAGCCGACGCUCAUUUGGGCUGUCAAUUACUAUCUCAUAUGCUUAACCUAAACAAUGUAUUGAUCCUGAUUGCCUGGAAAUGCACUUGAAAAGGGCUAGGUGACAUUUCCAAGGAGAGACAAGAUACUUUCAAAUCAAUUAGAAGCAUCAGAGGAUUCUGUGCGUGGGGGAGGAACUCACCUCAGAGAAGCAGCCCCUGGAAAUGUGAAUUGAAUCAAGCCCCCUCUUGUACACCAAAUCCUCCAAUAAACUUGGACAUCUAAGAGAUA